CCUACGGGUGGCAGCAGUGGGGAAUAUUGGGCAAUGGGCGCAAGCCUGACCCAGCAACGCCGCGUGAAGGAAGAAGGCUUUCGGGUUGUAAACUUCUUUUCUCAGGGACGAAGCAAGUGACGGUACCUGAGGAAUAAGCCACGGCUAACUACGUGCCAGCAGCCGCGGUAAUCCGUAGGGGGCAGGCGUUAUCCGGAUUUACUGGGUGUAAAGGGGGUGUAGGCGGGACUGCAAGUCAGAUGUGAAAACCAUGGGCUCAACCUAUGGCCUGCAUUUGAAACUGUAGUUCUUGAGUACUGGAGAGGCAGACGGAAUUCCUAGUGUAGCGGUGAAAUGCGUAGAUAUUAGGAGGAACACCAGUGGCGAAGGCGGUCUGCUGGACAGCAACUGACGCUGAGGCGCGAAAGCGUGGGGAGCAAACAGGAUUAGAUACCCGAGUAGUC
rnacentral:rRNA from 1 species